rnacentral:rRNA from 1 species
UACGAAGGGGACUAGCGUUGUUCGGAAUCACUGGGCGUAAAGCGCACGUAGGCGGAUUCGUAAGUCAGGGGUGAAAUCCCGGGGCUCAACCUCGGAACUGCCUUUGAUACUGCGGGUCUGAGUCCGAUAGAGGUGGGUGGAAUUCCUAGUGUAGAGGUGAAAAUUCGUAGAUAUUAGGAAGAACACCGGUGGCGAAGGCGGCCCACUGGAUCGGUACUGACGCUGAGGUGCGAAAGCGUGGGGAGCGAACGGGAUAGAAACC